GCUCUUUCUCUGUUGGCUACCACGUGACCAGAAGUGACAUAUACAUCCCGAGAAGGACACCGGUGGUGGAACGAGAUGGUUUAGUAGUCUUGUUCAAUUGAAGCUUCGACGAAUCAUUGUUUAGUCUUAAUGGUGUGCGAGUGAUUUUUGUCGUUGUUUAUUCGGUGGUCAUCAUGUCUGUUCGAGCCACCUCGGGGUGUUUGACUUGGCGCCGCUGGAGUCGUUUACGUGCACGUCAAAGUGCUAUGGCGGCCGCCUGCAGGCGAGAACGCAGCCAAGAAGCAGCAAAACAACAAGAUAAUUUACCGAAGAGGUCCAAGUUCCGACCGGCACCCAGCACCACGCACGACUGGAUCGGACCGCCCAGCCCGCUUUCCAACUUGCGACCCAUCGUCUACCGCGUAGCCCCGGACGAGUCGGCGCUGGAGAGACUGCUGAGGAGCAUGCGACAGGACACCGAGGACUGGAACCAUCGAUUCUGGGCCGAGCAGAACCUCACUUUCGGCAAGGAAAAAGAUGCCUUUGUUGUGUCACAGCUGAAGGCAAAAGGCUUGACUGAGCGAGACCAGCAAGGUUGUCCCAAUCUUCAAGCAUCAAUCACAUAUUUUAAAUCCACAAUAAAUGACAUUCAGUUUGUGUGUUGCAGGCCGCCGCCGCACUCUGACUGGUGAGGAGAUGUCCAUCUUCUACAAGGACUUCUUGGACAAAAACCGCCAGCGACACGUCAACUACAACAAGGAGUGGUACCGGCGCAACUUGUCAAUCACUCUGCUCAUGGCCCGUGUGGUGCUGCACAACCUGUGGAAGCGAGUGGGCAGCAGCGCAGCCGCAACGUGAUCGCAGACGCCUGCUUGUCAAUCAUCUGCUGCCAAGUUCCCUGGUGCGGCACGAGCACCCUAUGAGACAUAUUCACGAUACUCAAACACGAGUGUUUCCUAAUAAAGCAACCACAAAGAA